GAUGAACGCUGGCGGCGUGCCUAAUACAUGCAAGUCGAGCGAACGGACGAGAAUCUUGCUUCUCUGUUGUUAGCGGCGGACGUGUGAGUAACACGUGUAUAACCUACCUAUAAUACUGGGAUCACUUCGGGAAACCGUAGCUAAUACCGUAUAAUAUUUUGAACCGCAUGGUUCAAUAGUGAAAGACGGUCUUUCUGUCACUCAUAGAUGGAUCCGCGCUGCAUUAGCUAGUUGGUACGGUAACGGCUUACCAAGGCAACGAUGCAUAGCCGACCUGAGAGAGUGAUAGGCGACACUGGAGCUGAGACACGGUCCAGACGCCUAAGGGAGGCAGCAGUAGGGAAUGUGCCGCAAUGGGCGAAAGCCUGACGGAGCAACGCCGCGUGAGUGAUGAAGGUCUUCGGAUCGUAAAGACCUGUUAUUAGGGAAGAACAUAUGUGUAAGUAAAUGUGCACAUCUUGACGGUACCUAAUCAGAAAGCCACGGCUAACUACGUG
rnacentral:rRNA from 1 species